CCUACGGGUGGCAGCAGUGAGGAAUAUUGGUCAAUGGGCGGAAGCCUGAACCAGCCAAGUCGCGUGAGGGAAUAAGGCCCUACGGGUCGUAAACCUCUUUUGCCGGGGAGCAAGGGCCGGGACGCGUCCCGGCCCGGAGAGUACCCGGAGAAAAAGCAUCGGCUAACUCCGUGCCAGCAGCCGCGGUAAUACGGAGGAUGCGAGCGUUAUCCGGAAUGACUGGGGGUAAGGGUGCGUAGGGGGGUUAGUAAGUUGGCGGGUGAAUUCCGGGGCUCAACCUCGGCGCUACCGCCAAAACUAUUAGACUAGAGUGCAGGAGGGGUAAGUGGAAGUCCUAGUGUAGCGGUGGAAUGCGUAGAUAUUAGGAGGAACAUCAGGGGCGAAGGCGACUUACUGGACUGUAACUGACACUGAGGCACGAAAGCGUGGGGAGCAAACAGGAUUAGAUACCCCAGUAGUC
rnacentral:rRNA from 1 species